rnacentral:rRNA from 1 species
UACGUAGGGUGCAAGCGUUAAUCGGAAUUACUGGGCGUAAAGCGUGCGCAGGCGGUUUUGUAGGUCAGAUGUGAAAUCCCCGGGCUUAACCUGGGAACUGCGUUUGAAACUACAAGGCUAGAGUGUGGCAGAGGGGGGUGGAAUUCCACGUGUAGCAGUGAAAUGCGUAGAGAUGUGGAGGAACACCGAUGGCGAAGGCAGCCCCCCUGGGUUAACACUGACGCUCAGGCACGAAAGCGUGGGGAGCGAACAGG